GGAAAGGCUGUAGCUCAGUGGCAGAGCACCUGCUUUUCAUGCAGGAGGUUGCAGGUUCAAUCCCUGGUAUCUCCC